rnacentral:RNase_P_RNA from 1 species
GAAGUCAGCUAGGCAAUCGCUGUAUCGCUUGCGGUAUGGAGGAAAGUCCGGGCUCCAUAGGGCGGGAUGCCAGGUAACACCUGGGCGGCGUGAGCCGACGGAAAGUGCCGCAGAAAAUAUACCGCCAUCACUGCUUGCAGCGAUGGUAAGGGUGAAAUGGUGCGGUAAGAGCGCACCGCGCUGCUGGUAACAGCAGUGGCAGGGUAAACCCCAUCCGGAGCAAGACCAAAUAGGGGGACAUUGGUGUGGCCCACACUGUUCCCGGGUAGGUUGCUAGAGGUGCGUGGUGACGCGUAUCGCAGAGAAAUGAUUGCCCACGACAGAACCCGGCUUAUCGGCUGACUUCCACC